GACCACUCCGGUGGCAUAGUGGUUACAGCGUCAGCCUCAGAUGCGGAAGGUCGCGGGUUCGAACCCCUGCUGAGUUA